AGAGACCAUGAAUCUCGUGGAGAUUGGAGUGGUUCCGGUAAAGAUAACAGACAACAUAAGGUACAUGCAGUCCGGGAAAGACACAGAGAUAAUUCACAUUAUGAGUACCAUCCAGUUGCGCCCCACAACAAUAGCAAAGAGAACUUGGAAUCAAAAGAUGGUUCUCAUAAUUCCAGUACAAGGUAUAGAGAGCGGGGCCAAAGUCACUCGAGACGUGGAGGGGGCAACUUUUAUGGACAUCAAAUUGGCAGUGUUGAAGUAGAUGCUGGGCAUGACUAGGGUGAAACUGAGGGUGGUUUUCCCUUUUUUUUGUUUUCCUUCUUCUAAAACCAGUGGCUUGAGCUCGAUCCCUUACACUAGAGGUAUUUUUGUUUAGGUAGUCGUUUUCAAUUGUAAAUAUUAUUUAAUCACCGCCAACUUAUAGAAUGUGCGUUGAGCAGGGCUUGGAGCAUACACAUGGUGUGAAGGCCGAAAAAGAAAUAUUGAGAUUACGGGAGUUACUCAAUGUGGUUGAUUUCUUGACUUUUUUUUUUUUUUGACUAAAAUGUACCUCAUCUGAAAGGCUUAGUUUGGCAACGGUAUACUUGCUGUGGAACAAAAAAUGUUUUAUGAGCGGUGUAGCUAGUGAUCUUUAUUCCUUUGCUCCUUGCUAGAAAGGAUGAAGUAAAUAGUAUGGUUGGUGCAUGAUUUUUAGAGAAAUCGAACUGAACUGAAAAAUCGUAUUAAAUUGAUAAAAACUGUAUCGAAUCAAAUUUAUUUUAAUAUUUUAAUUUGGUUCUGAUUCUUUAUUAAAAAUUAAAUCAAAAUCGUACUAAAAUUAAAUUAAAACUGAAUUGAG
rnacentral:misc_RNA from 1 species